UCAGAUCCUCAUCUGAAGAAGACAUUCAACCUAUAACCAAGUCAAAACAAGGACCUCUGUGGAAAACAAAAGCAACUUUAAACCUCAAAGAUUGUAAAUACAUAGAUCCAAUGGUUGGUGCGAGCCCAGCAUUUCAGGCACGAAUCACUGAAAUGGCACAGCUUGAAGUAGAAACAAUACGAUUUGAGAAGACAAAAAGGACAAGAAAAAAAGCAUCAAGUUCUUA